UAAUAAUAAAUAAUAAUAAUAUAAAUAAUAUAUGCCAUUUAGCUGACGCUUUUAUCCAAAGCGACUUACAGUCAUGUGUGCAUACAUUCUACGUAUGGGUGGUCCCGGGAAUCGAACCCACUACCCUGGCGUUACAAGCGCCAUGCUCUACCAACUGAGCCACAGAAGGACCACUUCUACUUUCUAUUGGCGCUAAUACAACUCAGCUACAGGUGGGAGACUUUCUAUUGGCGCUAAUACAACUCAGCUACAGGUGGGAUACUUUCUAUUGGCGCUAAUACAACUCAGCUACAGGUGGGAUACUUUCUAUUGGCGCUAAUACAACUCAGCUACAGGUGGGAUACUUUCUAUUGGCGCUAAUACAACUCAGCUACAGGUGGGAUACUUUCUAUUGGCGCUAAUACAACUCAGCUACAGGUGGGAUACUUUCUAUUGGCGCUAAUACAACUCAGCUACAGGUGGGAUACUUUCUAUUGGCGCUAAUACAACUCAGCUACAGGUGGGAUACUUUCUAUUGGCGCUAAUACAACUCAGCUACAGGUGGGAUACUUUCUAUUGGCGCUAAUACAACUCAGCUACAGGUGGGAUACUUUCUAUUGGCGCUAAUACAACUCAGCUACAGGUGGGAUACUUUCUAUUGGCGCUAAUACAACUCAGCUACAGGUGGGAUACUUUCUAUUGGCGCUAAUACAACUCAGCUACAGGUGGGAUACUUUCUAUUGGCGCUAAUACAACUCAGCUACAGGUGGGAUACUUUCUAUUGGCGCUAAUACAACUCAGCUACAGGUGGGAUACUUUCUAUUGGCGCUAAUACAACUCAGCUACAGGUGGGAUACUUUCUAUUGGCGCUAAUACAACUCAGCUACAGGUGGGAUACUUUCUAUUGGCGCUAAUACAACUCAGCUACAGGUGGGAUACUUUCUAUUGGCGCUAAUACAACUCAGCUACAGGUGGGAUACUUUCUAUUGGCUCUAAUACAACUCAGCUACAGGUGGGGUACUUUCUAUUGGCUCUAAUACAACUCAGCUACAGGUGGGAUACUUUCUAUUGGCGCUAAUACAACUCAGCUACAGGUGGGAUACUUUCUAUUGGCACUAAUACAACUCAGCUACAGGUGGGAUACUUUCUAUUGGCGCUAAUACAACUCAGCUACAGGUGGGAUACUUUCUAUUGGCGCUAAUACAACUCAGCUACAGGUGGGAUACUUUCUAUUGGCGCUAAUACAACUCAGCUACAGGUGGGAUACUUUCUAUUGGCGCUAAUACAACUCAGCUACAGGUGGGAUACUUUCUAUUGGCACUAAUACAACUCAGCUACAGGUGGGAUACUUUCUAUUGGCGCUAAUACAACUCAGCUACAGGUGGGAUACUUUCU